AUCAGAAUUUAUCCAAUUGUAACGGUUGAACUCCAUUAACCUGGCGUGGGUUUCGGUUGUUUGAAGGAUUCGAUGUUUGAGAAUCUAUCUGUAGCUCAAACUAAACUACUCUUAAGAGUUUCUCUCAGAUUUGACAGAAUAUGCUUUUCUCUGCUGACAAUUGGUUCCAUAUCAAAUGGAGUCUGGAUUCUUAACAAGGAUGCUUGAAAGAGGUAAGA